CCAUGGUUUCCAUGGUUUCCAUGGUUUCCAUGUGUUUGAUACCAUUCCAUUGACGCCGUUCCAGACAUUAUUAUGAGCCGUCCUCCCCUCAGCAGCCUCCACUGAUAUCAACUGGUGUCGGGUUUCACUUCAAGUUCUGAUGUGGCUCAGUUGGUAGAGCAUGGUGCAUGUAAUGCCAGGGUUGUGGGUUUGAUUCCCUUGGUGGACUGGUAUGAAAAUGUAUCCACUCACGACUGAAAGUUGCUCUGUAGAAGAGCAUCUCCUAAAAGGUCAAUGUUUUUUAAGGGUGAGAAUGUUGUAAACUAGAGAGGAAUAUCCACUGGAUGUCUCUGUUUAUAGGUCUUUGUUUUCCUGUUUCAACAUUUGAAUUUAAGUUCAUCAAUCUGUCAUAUUAAUGAUCAACUCUGUCAUAUUAAUGGAAGCGAUGUUCAUACUUAGACACAAAUUCAGAAACAGAUUUUUUAUCAGAUGAUACCAGUUGAUGGAAAUCAAAUACAGUAUGCCAACUUGUGCAAUGUGAUAUAUCAUUGUAUCUACAAUACUCACGACAAUGUGAUAUAAAACAAUUAUUAUAUAGUUUUAUGUCAUUUGUUUGCCUUCUCAUAGGCCCUAUAUAAAUUAAUUAUUGAAGAAGAAAUCAUUUAGAUUUUAUUUGUAUGGUGUGUAAUUUAUGUUUUUUCAUUUCAGUAAAACAAAAGUGAUAAAUGGAUGAUUUGAUUCCUGGUAUCUCUAGAAAGUGUUCCUAGAAUAAUUGCUUUAGAUCAGGGUGGCCAACCCUCCUCCUGGAAAGAUACCCUCCACCUGGAGAGAUACCCUCCUCCUGGAAAGAUACCCUCCUCCUGGAAAGAUACCCUCCUCCUGGAGAGAUACUUUCCUCCUGGAAAGUUACCCUCCUCCUGGAGAGAUACCCUCCUCCUGGAGAGAUACCCUCCUCCUGGAGAGAUACCCUCCUCCUGGAGAGAUACUUUCCUCCUGGAAAGUUACCCUCCUCCUGGAGAGAUACCCUCCUCCUGGAGAGAUACCCUCCUCCUGGAGAGAUACCCUCCUCCUGGAUAGAUACCCUCCACCUGGAGAGAUACUUUCCUCCUGGAAAGUUACCCUCCUCCUGGAGAGAUACCCUCCCGUUUGAUUUUAUUCCAACCCUGCACCUACACACCAGACUCUACUAACCAGCUGGUCUCCAAGACCGUGAUUAUCUUGAAUCAGGUGUGUUAGAGCAGGGCUGGAACAAAAGCCUGCAGGAGGCUAUCUCUGAUCUAACUGUGCCCUAACAAAUAUGCAUCCCAAAUGGCACCCUAUACCAUAUACAGUGCAAUACUUUUGACCAGUGCCCAUGGUCAAAAGUAGGGAAUAGGGUGCCAUUUGGGACAUACUCUAACUAUGCCCUAACAGAGAUGCUAUCUAACAGAGAUGCUAUCUAACAGAGAUGCUAUCUAACAGAGAUGCUAUCUAACAGAGAUGCUAUCUAACAGAGAUACCCUAACAGACAUGAUAUCUAACAGAGAUGCUAUCUAACAGAAAUGCCCUAACAGAGAUGCUAUCUUAACAGAAAUGCCCUAACAGAGAUGCUAUCUAACAGAGAUGCCCUGACAGUGAUGCCCUAACAGAGAUACUAUCUAACAUAGAUACCCUAACAGACAUGCUAUCUAAUAGAGAUACCCUAACAGAGAUGCUAUCUAACAGAGAUACCCAAACAGAGAUGCUAUCUAACAGAGAUACCCAAACAGAGAUUAUAUCUAACAGAGAUACCCAAACAGAGAUGCUAUCUAACAGAGAUGCUAUCUAACAGAGAUGCCGUAACAGAUAUGCUAUCUAACAGAGAUGCCGUAACAGAGAUGCUAUCUAACAGAGAUACCCUAACAGUGCCUUCCAGCGUCCCACUAGUGAUUACUGGAUAUAUUCAUGCAGCAACGAUGAUUCAGGCAUGUAUUCUCUUUCCCACUCCAGUGUAGGACUUCUCGUCUUUCUGGGCCGUCCCAAAUGGGAAACCAAUUCCCUAUAGGUCUCUAGCCAAAGGCAGUGCACUAUAUAAGGAAUAGGGUGCCAUUUGGGAUGCUCUGUGCCUGCGAGUGGGGAUUCCCAGUGUUAGAGAAACCAGACAGACAGAAACAUGAAGGGCAGGAGCCUGGGAGCCAAACUGAAUAUCACUUUAAAUAUCACUCAGAAUAUCCUUCUAAAUAUCUCUAAAUACACCAGUCAAGCACAACAACCUCUGCUCACAUAUGCAGUGUGUAUUCCAGGAUAGGUCAGGCUGUUUCCAUGUGAGCGGAGGUUGUUGUGCUUGACUGGUGCAUUUACCCCCUAACAAACCCCAAAAUUAUUAUUGUAGUACCAGAGCAUCUGUUGAAUAUCAGGGACAUUUCACUCUUUUUGCCUGACGAAUCCUAGGACUAUCUAAAAACCUACAUUUUCGCCUAAAAUGACAUACCCAAAUCUAACUGCCUGUAGCACAGGACCUGAAGCAAGGAUAUGCAUAUUCUUGGUACCAUUUGAAAGGAAACACUUUGAAGUUUGUGUAAAUGUGAAAUGAAUGUAGGAGAAUAUAACACAUUGUAUGUGUUAAACGAUAAUUAAAAGAAAAAAACAUGCUUUUUUUUCAUCAUAUUUGAAAUGCAAGAGAAAGGCCAUAAUGUAUUAUUCCAGGUUUGGUAUGAUUUUGAUUUUGGCCACUAGAUGGCAGCAGUGUAUGUGCAAAGUUUUAGAUUGAACCAAUGAACCAUUGCAUUUCUGUUCAAAAUGUUGUAUCGAGUCUGCCCAAAUGUGCCUAAUUGGUUUAUUGAUACAUUUUCAAGUUCAUAACUGUCCCUCUCCUCAAAGAAUAGCAAGGUAUUAUUUCACUGUAACAGCUACUGUAAAUUAGACAGUGAAGUAAGAUUAACAAGAAUUUAAACUUUCUGCCCAUAUCAGAUAUGUCUAUGUCCUGGGAAAUGUUCUUGUUACUUACAACCUCAUGCUAAUCCCAUUAGCCUGCGUUAGCUCAAUCGAUCCCGUAGAGGUUAAAUUAAAUGUAGAUUAAAUCAGUUCAUUUAGAUUUUAAUACAUUUUCCUAUUGAUCUCCUCAGUGUAUUAAUGAAAGACGUAGGGGGUUUGACUGAAUGGUGGGAGAUGAUUAUAUAGUUAGUCAGUAUUUGGUUUAUUUACUUUUUAAUUUUCCAGUUCAACUUCCACAUUUUAGAGAAGCGAACAUAAAAUGGUGAGGAAACAGACAGAACAGUCAUACUACCUGUGACUAGCAGCUAGCUACAUGUCCAUACUGUAUAAACAACAAAUCAAAUAUUAUAUUACAAUAUUAGUAUUUCCGUUGGAGACUACCAACAGUGUUGCUUCAGUUCUAGUUUGAAUGUCAAAUGACAACAUAAUCCCCAAUAUAAUGCACUACUUUGGACCAGAGCUCCAAGGCUCCUGUUCAAAAGUAGGGCACUGUAAAGGGAAGGAGGUGCCAUUUGAGGCCCAGUUCUAUCCUCAGUACCAGAGACCCAGUUCUAGCCUUGGUACCAGAGACCCAGUUCUAGCCUCGGUACCAGAGACACAGUUCUAUCCUCAGUACCAGAGACACAGUUCUAGCCUUGGUACCAGAGACCCAGUUCUAUCCUCAGUACCAGAGACACAGUUCUAGCCUUGGUACCAGAGACCCAGUUCUAGCCUCGGUACCAGAGACCCAGUUCUAGCCUUGGUACCAGAGACCCAGUUCUAGCCUCGGUACCAGAGACCCAGUUCUAUCCUCAGUACCAGAGACCCAGUUCUAGCCUUGGUACCAGAGACCCAGUUCUAGCCUCGGUACCAGAGACCCAGUUCUAUCCUCAGUACCAGAGACACAGUUCUAGCCUCAGUACCAGAGACCCAGUUCUAUCCUCAGUACCAGAGACCCAGUUCUAUCCUCAGUACCAGAGACACAGUUCUAUCCUCAGUACCAGAGACCCAGUUCUAUCCUCAGUACCAGAGACCCAGUUCUAUCCUCAGUACCAGAGACCCAGUUCUAGCCUCAGUACCAGAGACCCAGUUCUAUCCUCAGUACCAGAGACCCAGUUCUAGCCUCAGUACCAGGUAGAUCAUUAUCAUCAUAUCAUGGUGUUUUAUGACAUUCAGAGUUCUGCAUGACACAUCUUCUUUGAAGAUUUCGUUUUCUCUUUUAACAACCAACAUGUUUGCCAUUAUUUUACAACCUUCCACUGUUUCAUUCCAUGUAAUGAUAUGAUGAUUUCUCUAGGCCAUAAUAUUCUGUUUCCCUCUCUCAAGGGAUUAUAUGUAUUCAUGGCAGACAACAGUAGAAUAUGAAUCCACAGACAUGCCUUAGUCAUAUUAUUAUAACACUUGAUUGUGGUUUGCUAUCAAUCAAUAAUUAAUUGAUUGGUGGUUAAGACAUUAACAUAACACUGGACUCUAGUUUAUACUUUGAUAUAUCAUGUGUUCAUUUGAUCAGUUAGUUCUCUGCCACACACUGACUAUUGAUAGAAUAUCCUACCACUCCUACAGAACAGAUUCAAGGUAAAUGGGUCAUUUUCUAUGGCAUCGGCACACCACAUAGGAGAUUUAGCUACUGUUCAUGGUGUUCGCAUGUAUUUAUGCUGAACCAAUCAGAAACCUGGUAGGAGGAGCUAUAUGUAACCAUCGUCCAGAAUACAUUCAUGUACGCCGUCUAUUCAUGGCAGCAGCUCUACUCAACACAGUUAUGGAUUCUUUGAGGUGCAUUUUGGAGACACACUAUUUAUUUUCCUUCCAAUAUUAUCACAAAUAUUUAUGAAAUGUAAUAUGGUGUAUUAUGUUGAUAUUAAUGUUGUUGUUUUAGUCAUUGACAGAAUAAGCUCUUGAUUCUGUUGUUGGCCGGGUGAGUCUAUAUUUAGGGCUGGAAGGAAGGAGGAAUCUGUGGCAGCCAUGAUACACAUGAUGCACUGGUUUCGUCCCAAAUGGCAUCCUAUUGCCUAUAUAGUCCCCAUGGGCCCUCGUCAAAUGUACUGCACUAAACAGGGAAUAGGGUACCAUUUGGGACAUACACACAGUCAUCAUUACAAAUCCUUGUUGCUUUUCUCUAGUUGGUUAUACAGUAGUAUGUGGUUUCAGAACAAUCAGGGUACUAAUGUAUGGACACUGAAACAGGUAACAAGACAAGUAACAAGUUUAGUUGGAGCUACUAGGCUAUUCACUGUACAUUCACAUUGCCAUCUAGAAUGGGGGGGGUUGGACUCUGGUAUGAAUUAUAUUUUAUCUGUCAGUCUGAAAUGUCAUCACCAUGUUUGUACAGUACAAAUAGCAGGAACAUAUAUUUUCUCUCUGGCCUUCGAUUAGGUUUGUUUUGAUUUGUUGUAGAAAUGGAAAAAAACAACCCUGAAACUAAGUAAUGCCUAUUCAAAUCCUGAAACUGUGAAUGGGGAUCGUGGAGAAGUCUAUGUAUAUGUUUUGAUGUAAUCAAAGAGCACUGGGAAUUAUUACGUUGUAUUUCUCUGUAAAAACUGAACCACAUUGAUAUAACUGUACUUCUGUUGAAAUUAAAACCUCUAUAUACUGAA